AACGAACGCUGGCGGCAGGCUUAACACAUGCAAGUCGAGCGCCCCGCAAGGGGAGCGGCAGACGGGUGAGUAACGCGUGGGAAUCUACCCAUCUCUACGGAAUAACGCAUGGAAACGUGUGCUAAUACCGUAUACGUCCUUCGGGAGAAAGAUUCAUCGGAGAUGGAUGAGCCCGCGUUGGAUUAGCUAGUUGGUGGGGUAAAGGCCUACCAAGGCGACGAUCCAUAGCUGGUCUGAGAGGAUGAUCAGCCACACUGGGACUGAGACACGGCCCAGACUCCUACGGGAGGCAGCAGUGGGGAAUAUUGGACAAUGGGCGCAAGCCUGAUCCAGCCAUGCCGCGUGAGUGAUGAAGGCCCUAGGGUUGUAAAGCUCUUUCACCGGUGAAGAUAAUGACGGUAACCGGAGAAGAAGUCCCGGCUAACUUCGUGCCAGCCGCCGCUGUAACAC
rnacentral:rRNA from 1 species